UAAUUAGUAUAGGUAAUCAUGCGAUGGCGAGUACAAUUAGGGAUUAAUAGUACGAGUGAUGUUUGGAAAUUUUGCCGAAAUUGGACGAGCCGCCGGGACGAGUCCAAUUUGGCAAAUUUCCAAACAUCACGAGUACUAUUAAUCCCUAAUUGUACGAGCAACAUCGCAUGAUUACUUGUUUAUUAUUAGCAUGACAAAAUUGGAUACUUAUCAAUGUCAACAUCAUAUUCUCUCGCCAAAGUCCAAUCCUGCCAGACUUUCAACCAAAAUUUGGUGCUUUUGUUCGUAUUUUCAUUUAGUUCUUUUGUUCAAGAAAAAUUUGGUGCUUUUGUUUGUAUUUUCAUCUAGUUCCUCAAGGGCAAUUUCAUUUCACAUUUGUGUUCAAAAUACCUUUCCGCC